AAUAGAUACCCUGGUAGUCCACGCCGUAAACGAUGAGUGCUAGGUGUUGGGGGGUACCACCCUCAGUGCCGAAGCUAACGCAUUAAGCACUCCGCCUGGGGAGUAUGGUCGCAAGACUGAAACUCAAAGGAAUUGACGGGGGCCCGCACAAGCAGUGGAGCAUGUGGUUUAAUUCGAAGCAACGCGAAGAACCUUACCAAGACUUGACAUCCCGCUGACCGCUCUAGAGAUAGAGCUUCCCUUCGAGGCAGCGGUGACAGGUGGUGCAUGGUUGUCGUCAGCUCGUGUCGUGAGAUGUUGGGUUAAGUCCCGCAACGAGCGCAACCCCUAGAUUGUGUUGCUACCAUUUAGUUGAGCACUCACAAUCGACUGCCGGUGACAAACCGGAGGAAGGCGGGGAUGACGUCAAAUCAUCAUGCCCCUUAUGUCUUGGGCUACACACGUGCUACAAUGGGCGGUACAAAGAGAAGCGAGACCGCGAGGUGGAGCCAAUCUCAUAAAGCCGUUCGUAGUUCGGAUUG
rnacentral:rRNA from 1 species